rnacentral:rRNA from 1 species
GGAUCCAGACUUUGAUUCUGGCUCAGGAUGAACGCUAGCUACAGGCUUAACACAUGCAAGUCGAGGGGCAGCAUGGUCUUAGCUUGCUAAGGCCGAUGGCGACCGGCGCACGGGUGAGUAACACGUAUCCAACCUGCCGUCUACUCUUGGACAGCCUUCUGGAAGGAAGAUUAAUACAAGAUGGCAUCAUGAGUCCGCAUGUUCACAUGAUUAAAGGUAUUCCGGUAGACGAUGGGGAUGCGUUCCAUUAGAUAGUAGGCGGGGUAACGGCCCACCUAGUCUUCGAUGGAUAGGGGUUCUGAGAGG